GUUAUAGGGUCAAGCGAAUAAGUGCAUGUGGUGGAUGCCUUGGCGAUCACAGGCGAUGAAGGACGUAGUAGCUUGCGAAAAGCUGCGGGGAGCUGGCAAACGAGCUUUGAUCCGCAGAUGUCCGAAUGGGGAAACCCGGCCCGUAUGGGUCAUCCCUUGCUGAAUACAUAGGCAAGGGAGGCGAACGCAGUGAACUGAAACAUCUAAGUAGCUGCAGGAAAAGAAAUCAACCGAGAUUCCCAAAGUAGUGGCGAGCGAAAUGGGAACAGCCUUGUACUCUUUAGCAGUAUUGUUAGCGGAACGGAAUGGAAAGUCCGGCCAUAGUGGGUGAUAGCCCCGUACGCGAAAACAGUAUUGUGGAACUAGGUGUACGACAAGUAGGGCGGGACACGUGAAAUCCUGUCUGAAGAUGGGGGGACCAUCCUCCAAGGCUAAAUACUCGUGAUCGACCGAUAGUGAACCAGUACCGUGAGGGAAAGGCGAAAAGAACCCCGGGAGGGGAGUGAAAUAGAUCCUGAAACCGCAUGCAUACAAACAGUCGGAGCCUGGAAACGGGUGACGGCGUACCUUUUGUAUAAUGGGUCAGCGACUUACAUUCAGUGGCAAGCUUAACCGAUUAGGGAAGGCGUAGCGAAAGCGAGUCCGAAUAGGGCGUUCAGUCGCUGGGUGUAGACCCGAAACCAAGUGAUCUAUCCAUGGCCAGGUUGAAGGUGCGGUAACACGUACUGGAGGACCGAACCCACUAACGUUGAAAAGUUAGGGGAUGAGCUGUGGAUAGGGGUGAAAGGCUAAACAAACUUGGAAAUAGCUGGUUCUCUCCGAAAACUAUUUAGGUAGUGCCUCGUGUCUCACCUUCGGGGUAGAGCACUGUCAUGGUUGGGGGGUCUAUUGCUGAUUACCCCGCCAUAGCAAACUCCGAAUACCGAAGAGUGCAAUCACGGGAGACAGACAUCGGGUGCUAACGUCCGGUGUCAAGAGGGAAACAACCCAGACCGCCAGCUAAGGUCCCUAAGAUUGGCUAAGUGGGAAACGAAGUGGGAAGGCUAAAACAGUCAGGAGGUUGGCUUAGAAGCAGCCACCCUUUAAAGAAAGCGUAAUAGCUCACUGAUCGAGUCGUCCUGCGCGGAAGAUGUAACGGGGCUAAGCCAGUCACCGAAGCUGCGGAUGCACGUAAGUGCAUGGUAGGAGAGCGUUCUGUAAGCCUGUGAAGGUGUCUUGUAAAGGAUGCUGGAGGUAUCAGAAGUGCGAAUGCUGACAUGAGUAGCGAUAAAGGGGGUGAAAGGCCCCCUCGCCGUAAGCCCAAGGUUUCCUACGCAACGUUCAUCGGCGUAGGGUGAGUCGGCCCCUAAGGCGAGGCAGAGAUGCGUAGCUGAUGGGAAGCAGGUUAAUAUUCCUGCACCGUCGUAUGAUGCGAUGGGGGGACGGAUCGCGGAAGGUUGUCCGGGUGUUGGAAGUCCCGGUCCCUACAUUGGAGAUGGCACUUAGGCAAAUCCGGGUGCGUGAUUCAAGGGUGUGGGGCGAGCGACGUUAGGUCGCGAAGCAAUUGGAAGUGGUUCCAAGAAAAGCCUCUAAGCUUCAGUCAUACGAGACCGUACCGCAAACCGACACAGGUGGGCGAGAUGAGUAUUCUAAGGCGCUUGAGAGAACUCGGGAGAAGGAACUCGGCAAAUUGGUACCGUAACUUCGGGAUAAGGUACGCCCUUGUAGUUUGACUGGCUCGCGCCAGAAGGAUGAAGGGGUUGCAAUAAAAUGGUGGCUGCGACUGUUUAAUAAAAACACAGCACUCUGCAAACACGAAAGUGGACGUAUAGGGUGUGACGCCUGCCCGGUGCCGGAAGAUUAAAUGAUGGGGUGCAAGCUCUUGAUUGAAGUCCCGGUAAACGGCGGCCGUAACUAUAACGGUCCUAAGGUAGCGAAAUUCCUUGUCGGGUAAGUUCCGACCUGCACGAAUGGCGUAACGAUGGCCACACUGUCUCCUCCCGAGACUCAGCGAAGUUGAAGUGUUUGUGAUGAUGCAAUCUCCCCGCGGCUAGACGGAAAGACCCCAUGAACCUUUACUGUAGCUUUGCAUUGGACUUUGAACCGAUCUGUGUAGGAUAGGUGGGAGGCUUUGAAACCGGGACGCUAGUUUCGGUGGAGCCGACCUUGAAAUACCACCCUGGUUUGUUUGAGGUUCUAACCUUGGCCCGUGAAUCCGGGUCGGGGACAGUGCAUGGUAGGCAGUUUGACUGGGGCGGUCUCCUCCCAAAGUGUAACGGAGGAGUUCGAAGGUACGCUUGGUACGGUCGGACAUCGUACCUAAAGUGCAAUGGCAAAAGCGUGCUUAACUGCGAGACCGACAAGUCGAGCAGGUGCGAAAGCAGGACAUAGUGAUCCGGUGGUUCUGUAUGGAAGGGCCAUCGCUCAACGGAUAAAAGGUACUCUGGGGAUAACAGGCUGAUACCGCCCAAGAGUUCAUAUCGACGGCGGUGUUUGGCACCUCGAUGUCGGCUCAUCUCAUCCUGGGGCUGUAGCCGGUCCCAAGGGUAUGGCUGUUCGCCAUUUAAAGAGGUACGUGAGCUGGGUUUAAAACGUCGUGAGACAGUUUGGUCCCUAUCUGCCGUGGGCGUUGGAAUCUUGACGGGGGCUGCUCCUAGUACGAGAGGACCGGAGUGGACGUACCGCUGGUGUACCUGUUGUCUCGCCAGAGGCAUCGCAGGGUAGCUAUGUACGGAAGAGAUAACCGCUGAAAGCAUCUAAGCGGGAAACUCGCCUGAAGAUGAGGAUUCCCUGGAGACUUGAUCUCCCUGAAGGGUCGUUCGAGACCAGGACGUUGAUAGGCUGGGUGUGGAAGCGCAGUAAUGCGUUCAGCUAACCAGUACUAAUUGCCCGUGCGGCUUGAUCCUAUAACC
rnacentral:rRNA from 1 species